rnacentral:SRP_RNA from 1 species
GCCGGGUGUGGUGGUGGGCGCCUGUAAUCCCAACUACUUGGGAGGCUGAGGCGGGAGAAUCGCUUGAACCCAGGAGGCGGAGGUUGCAGGGAGCCAAGAUCAUGCCACUGCACUCCAGCCUGGGUAACAGAGCGAGACUCUGUCUCAA